rnacentral:rRNA from 1 species
GGAUUAGCUAGUGGUAGGGUAACGGCUCACCUAGGCGACGAUCCCUAGCUGGUCUGAGAGGAUGACCAGCCACACUGGAACUGAGACACGGUCCAGACUCCUACGGGAGGCAGCAUG